GACGGGUGAGUAAUGCCUAGGAAUCUGCCUGGUAGUGGGGGACAACGUUUCGAAAGGAACGCUAAUACCGCAUACGUCCUACGGGAGAAAGCAGGGGACCUUCGGGCCUUGCGCUAUCAGAUGAGCCUAGGUCGGAUUAGCUAGUUGGUGGGGUAAAGGCUCACCAAGGCGACGAUCCGUAACUGGUCUGAGAGGAUGAUCAGUCACACUGGAACUGAGACACGGUCCAGACUCCUACGGGAGGCAGCAGUGGGGAAUAUUGGACAAUGGGCGAAAGCCUGAUCCAGCCAUGCCGCGUGUGUGAAGAAGGUCUUCGGAUUGUAAAGCACUUUAAGUUGGGAGGAAGGGCAUUAACCUAAUACGUUGGUGUUUUGACGUUACCGACAGAAUAAGCACCGGCUAACUCUGUGCCAGCAGCCGCGGUAAUACAGAGGGUGCAAGCGUUAAUCGGAAUUACUGGGCGUAAAGCGCGCGUAGGUGGUUUGUUAAGUUGAAUGUGAAAUCCCCGGGCUCAACCUGGGAACUGCAUCCAAAACUGGCAAGCUAGAGUAG
rnacentral:rRNA from 1 species